AAUCCCGGUGAAUACCGGGAAAUGGUAGAACCUGUGGGAGUAUCGAAAAAUUGUACGGGCGAGUACCGGAAUAGGGUUGAAUCAGUGUGACUAAAUGACAAUGGUAGAAUCCGAGCGAAUAACGAAAAAUCGUAAAAUCCCAACGAAUACCGGGAAAUGGUAGAAUCCGUGCGAGUACGGAAAAACUGUUUGGGCGAGUACCGGAAAAGGGUUGAAUCAGUGUGACUAAAUGAAAAUGGUAGAAUCCGAGCGAAUAACGAAGAAUCGUAAAAUCCCAACGAAUACCGGGAAAUGGUAGAAUCCGUGCGAGUACCGAAAAGCUGU
rnacentral:lncRNA from 1 species